UAUAGCACGAGGGAUCCACCUCUUCCCAUUCCGAACAGAGAAGUUAAGCCUCGUCACGCCGAUGGUACUGCGUAACAGUGGGAGAGUAGGUAGCCGCCGUUU
rnacentral:rRNA from 1 species